GCGGGCGUAGCUCAGUGGUAGAGCGCCUGCCUUCCAAGCAGGCUGUCGU
rnacentral:tRNA from 1 species